rnacentral:lncRNA from 1 species
AAAAAAUCAAAAAACAAGUUUGAGUAAUAAAAGUUUCUCUUCUCCAAAAUCUUUCUACUCUUCCAAAAUUUCCUUAGCCUAAAGACCUCCCUCCAAAUAUUAAUAGCAAUCCUCUUCCAACAGAACCUAUAACCUUCAACUUAGGAAAUAAGUACUUGUGUUGUCAUGUUUAUUCCUUUUAUCUGCUAUAUACAAUAUGUUUGGAUCGAAGGAUUAUUUUUUAUAUAUAUGACAAAAUAUAAUCUGUUAAAAUUU